rnacentral:rRNA from 1 species
GACGAACGCUGGCGGCGUGCUUAACACAUGCAAGUCGAACGGAAAGGCCUUUUCGGAGGUACUCGAGUGGCGAACGGGUGAGUAACACGUGGGUGAUCUGCCCUGCACUCUGGGAUAAGCCUGGGAAACUGGGUCUAAUACCGGAUAGGACCGCACUUUAGUGUGUGUGGUGGCACGUUUUUUCGGUGUAGGAUGAGCCCGCGGCCUAUCAGCUUGUUGGUGGGGUAAUGGCCUACCAAGGCGGCGACGGGUAGCCAGACUGAGAGGUUGGUCGGCCACAUUGGGACUGAGACACGGCCCAGACUCCGACGGGAGGCAGCAGUGGGGAAGAUUGCACAAUGGGCGCAAGCCUGAUGCAGCGACGGCGCGUGGGGGAUGACGGCCUUCGGGUUGUAAACGCCUUUCGCCAGGGACGAAGCGGUUUGUGACGGUACCUGGAGAAGAAGCACCGGCUAACUACGUG